UAUUAUUAUAUUAUUAUAUUAUUAUAUUAUUAUAUUAUUAUAUUAUUAUAUUAAUGUGAGAGAUAAACAAGUUGUUAACGGGCAUCAACUUUCUGCAUCGUUCCUCUAAUCAUUCCUUUAUAGGUUAAUAAAAUAAGCUUUUCAGACAAGAUCUCAAAAGGGGCAAAGAAAGAUCAUUUAUAUGAGGAAACGUCCUCCUUCAUCUGUGCCGUUACGGUAAUGAAAACACAGGUAUAACGAGGUUCAAGGAAUGGGGGACCACCUUCCUCAACAUCAUCUCUGUAAUGGUGAAAUUAGGACGAUUGAGGAAGAGUAGCAGAGAUGGGCAUGGAUGAAAAAAAUACUGUAAUCCACAUAAAGGUUAUUUUGGAACAGGAUUAAAAUAUAAUAAUCAGGUUAUUUUGGAGCAGGAUUUAAAUAUAAUAAUCAGGUUAUUUUGGAACAGGAUUUAAAUAUAAUAAUCAGGUUAUUUUGGAGCAGGAUUUAAAUAUAAUAAUCAGGUUAUUUUGGAGCAGGAUUUAAAUAUAAUAAUCAGGUUAUUUUGGAACAGGAUUUAAAUAUAAUAAUCAGGUUAUUUUGGAGCAGGAUUUAAAUAUAAUAAUCAGGUUAUUUUGGAGCAGGAUUUAAAUAUAAUAAUCAGGUUAUUUUGGAACAGGAUUUAAAUAUAAUAAUCAGGUUAUUUUGGAACAGGAUUUAAAUAUAAUAAUCAGGUUAUUUUGGAGCAGGAUUUAAAUAUAAUAAUCAGGUUAUUUUGGAGCAGGAUUUAAAUAUAAUAAUCAGGUUAUUUUGGAGCAGGGUGAAAAUAUAAUAAUCAGGUUAUUUUGGAGCAGGAUUUAAAUAUAAUAAUCAGGUUAUUUUGGAACAGGAUUUAAAUAUAAUAAUCAGGUUAUUUUGGAGCAGGAUUUAAAUAUAAUAAUCAGGUUAUUUUGGAGCAGGAUUUAAAGAUAAUAAUCAGGUUAUUUUGGAGCAGGAUCAACAUAUAAUAAUCAGGUUAUUUUGGAGCAGGAUUCAGAUAUAAUAAUCAGGUUAUUUUGGAACAGGAUUUAAAUAUAAUAAUCAGGUUAUUUUGGAGCAGGAUUAAAAUAUAAUAAUCAGGUUAUUUUGGAGCAGGAUUUAAAUAUAAUAAUCAGGUUAUUUUGGAACAGGAUUUAAAUAUAAUAAUCAGGUUAUUUUGGAACAGGAUUUAAAUAUAAUAAUCAGGUUAUUUUGGAGCAGGAUUUAAAUAUAAUAAUCAGGUUAUUUUGGAGCAGGAUUUAAAUAUAAUAAUCAGGUUAUUUUGGAGCAGGGUGAAAAUAUAAUAAUCAGGUUAUUUUGGAGCAGGAUUUAAAUAUAAUAAUCAGGUUAUUUUGGAACAGGAUUUAAAUAUAAUAAUCAGGUUAUUUUGGAGCAGGAUUUAAAUAUAAUCAGGUUAUUUUGGAGCAGGAUUUAAAUAUAAUAAUCAGGUUAUUUUGGAACAGGCUUAAAAUAUAAUAAUCAGGUUAUUUUGGAACAGGAUUUAAAUAUAAUAAUCAGGUUAUUUUGGAACAGGAUUUAAAUAUAAUAAUCAGGUUAUUUUGGAGCAGGAUUUAAAUAUAAUAAUCAGGUUAUUUUGGAGCAGGAUUUAAAUAUAAUAAUCAGGUUAUUUUGGAGCAGGAUUAAAAUAUAAUAAUCAGUUACUUAUGAUGGAAGCUUCCUGUCUUCCAUUGAGCAUUUUUCAUCCAUUUGCCAUAUUCAAAACAUUUCUAGAAAGCAACUUCCAG